CUAGACUUGCUCCUCAGCAGCGGGGCGCUGCGCGACGGGGUCGGAGCUGACUCGCAGCAGCAGGAAAUCCCUCCGGUCGCCGCGACGCCUAGCCCCGGCUCGGCGCCCGCGUGGGAUGCUGCAGCGCUCGCGCUGGCCCUGAGAGCUGCUGCACCGAAGGCCGGCGACCAUGGCAGCGCUCCCGCCGCCCGCGUCCCCCGUCCGCGCCCGCGCCCUCCUGCUCUCCCUAGCCGGGGCUCUGCUCGCGCCCCGCGCGGCCCGAGGAACAAGCCUAUGGGACCAUGUAGGCGCUUAUGAAGUUGCCAGUGCUGCUCUUCUGAAUGGAGACCUCGGGACUCUGGGGAGGAACAGUGAGUCAAAGCUUGCUUUCUGUUAAGUCAUGGUGUCACUCCCAUCGUCCAACCUGCCAGUCAGUUAGAGAAAGCAAGAG
rnacentral:lncRNA from 1 species